rnacentral:rRNA from 1 species
ACUCGAGUGGCGAACGGGUGAGUAACACGUGGGUGAUCUGCCCUGCACUUCGGGAUAAGCCUGGGAAACUGGGUCUAAUACCGGAUAGGACGAUGGUUUGGAUGCCAUUGUGGAAAGUUUUUCGGUGUGGGAUGAGCUCGCGGCCUAUCAGCUUGUUGGUGGGGUAAUGGCCUACCAAGGCGUCGACGGGUAGCCGGCCUGGGAGGGUGUACGGCCACAUUGGGACUGAGAUACGGCCCAG